UACGGGGGGGGCAAGCGUUGUUCGGAAUUACUGGGCGUAAAGGGCUCGUAGGCGGCCAACUAAGUCAGACGUGAAAUCCCUCGGCUUAACCGGGGAACUGCGUCUGAUACUGGAUGGCUUGAGAUUGGGAGAGGGAUGCGGAAUUCCAGGUGUAGCGGUGAAAUGCGUAGAUAUCUGGAGGAACACCGGUGGCGAAGGCGGCAUCCUGGACCAACACUGACGCUGAGGAGCGAAAGCCAGGGGAGCAGACGGG
rnacentral:rRNA from 1 species